rnacentral:rRNA from 1 species
CUACGGGCCGCUGCAGUGAGGAAUAUUGCACAAUGGGGGGAACCCUGAUGCAGCAACGCCGCGUGGAGGAUGACGCAUUUCGGUGUGUAAACUCCUUUUAUAUGUCAAGAAAAUGACGGUAGCAUAUGAAUAAGCACCGGCUAACUCCGUGCCAGCAGCCGCGGUAAUACGGGGGGUGCAAGCGUUACUCGGAAUCACUGGGCGGAAAGGACGCGUAGGCGGGUUGGAAAGUCAGGUGUGAAAUCCUACAGCUUAACUGUAGAACUGCACUUGAAACUUCUAAUCUAGAGUAUGGGAGGGGGAGAUGGAAUUAGUGGUGUAGGGGUAAAAUCCGUAGAUAUCACUAGGAAUACCUAAAGCGAAGGCGAUCUCCUGGAACAUUACUGACGCUAAGGCGUGAAAGCGUGGGGAGCAAACAGGAUUAGAUACCCUCGUAGUC